UACGAACUGUGCAAACGUUAUUCGGAAUCACUGGGCUUGAAGAGUGCGUAGGCGGUUUUGUAAGUAGGGUGUGAAAGCCCCCGGCUCAACCGGGGAAUUGCGCCCUAAACUGCAAGGCUGGAGUGAGGUAGGGGUGUGUGGAACUUCUAGUGGAGCGGUGAAAUGUGUUGAUAUUAGAAGGAACGCCGGUGGCGAAAGCGACACACUGGACCUUGUCUGACGCUGAGGCACGAAAGCCAGGGGAGCAAACGGG
rnacentral:rRNA from 1 species